rnacentral:rRNA from 1 species
UACGUAGGCAGCAAGCGUUGUUCGGAGUUACUGGGCGUAAAGAGUGCGUAGGCGGUGCCGAAAGUUUGGCGUGAAAUCUCCCGGCUUAACUGGGAGGGUGCGCCGAAAACUGCGAUGCUGGAGUGUGGGAAAGGCAAGCGGAAUUCCUGGUGUAGCGGUGAAAUGCGUAGAUAUCAGGAGGAACACCGGCGGUGUAGACGGCUUGCUAGACCAUAACUGACGCUGAGGCACGAAAGCGUGGGUAGCAAACAGG